rfam:Camelus ferus unplaced genomic scaffold scaffold859, whole genome shotgun sequence.
GAGGGUAUAGCUCAGUGGUACAGCCCAUGCUUAAAAUCCACGAGGUCCUGGGUUCAGUCCCCAGCACCUCCA